UCACCAUGUAGGCCUUUAUGUGCAUGAGUCUGGCCUCCCUGUACUUGUGGGCUAAAACAAUAAAUUAUGUAUCUUACAUCAUUACAUGUAUGUUAGUGCUAAAUUAAAAUAUAGUUUUACCAGUCAGAAGAGUGGAUUUAAGAGCAUUCAGGCUAAUAUCACCGCUAUAGCUAGCUUGAGGGUAAUUAGUCUUAACAGUCACGCUGAACUGCGGAACAACAAACAUGGAGGACAAAAAGAAGCUGCAUUAAAAAAAGAGACAGUGGAGUGGAAUAUUGUAGCAUCCAGAACGAAGGCACAGCGACAGGUCCAAACACCAGUAUGUUAGGUUAUGAAGACGCUAAAUGGACCGUAGCUGUGAAUGAGGGUGUGCCUCGCCUCGUGGCAGCUGGGAUGGAUGACACCAUAAAAAAAACCUGAAACAGAUCUUUGCACGAUACUCCAUUUGUAAAGACAUGGUACGGAAUGUCUCAUCCUUAUCCCAACAUGUGGACAAAAACAAAAUUAAUUAUACAACAGCAGUGUGAC